UACGGAGGAUCCAAGCGUUAUCCGGAUUUAUUGGGUUUAAAGGGUGCGUAGGCGGCUUUUUAAGUCAGGGGUGAAAACUUGCGGCUCAACCGUAAGCUUGCCUUUGAUACUGAGGAGCUUGAAUACACUUGAGGUAGGCGGAAUGUGACAAGUAGCGGUGAAAUGACAUAGAUAUGUCACAGAACACCAAUUGCGAAGGCAGCUUACUAAAGUGAGAUUGACGCUGAGGCACGAAAGCGUGGGGAUCAAACAGGG
rnacentral:rRNA from 1 species